rnacentral:rRNA from 1 species
ACUCCUACGGGAGGCAGCAGUGGGGAAUAUUGGACAAUGGGCGCAAGCCUGAUCCAGCCAUACCGCGUGGGUGAAGAAGGCCUUCGGGUUGUAAAGCCCUUUUGUUGGGAAAGAAAUCCAGCCGGCUAAUACCUGGUUGGGAUGACGGUACCCAAAGAAUAGGCACCGGCUAACUUCGUGCCAGCAGCCGCGGUAAU